GCUGGAUGUGGUGGUGCACACUUGUAAUCUUAGCGACUCAGGAGGCUGAGGCAGGAGGAUCAAGAGUUCAAAGCCAGCCUCAGCAACUGAGCAAGGCUGUAAGCAACUCAGUGAGACCCUGUCUCUA
rnacentral:sRNA from 1 species